rnacentral:rRNA from 1 species
CCCUUAGAUGUUCUGGGCCGCACGCGCGCUACACUGACUGGUGCAACAAGUGUCUGACCUUGGCUCGAGAGGCCUGGGCAACCUUUGAACGCCAGUCGUGCUGGGGAUAGAUUCUUGCAAUUAUUAAUCUUCAACGAGGAAUGCCUAGUAAGCGCAAGUCAUCAGCUUGCGUUGAUUACGUCCCUGCCCUUUGUACACACCGCCCGUCGCUCCUACCGAUUGAAUGGUCCGGUGAAGCGUUCGGACCGUGGCCUUUGGACGGUUCGCCGUCUGUUGGCUGCGGGAAGUUCGUUAAACCUUAUCAUUUAGAGGAAGGAGAAGUCGUANCA